CGUAGGGUGCGAGCGUUAAUCGGAAUUACUGGGCGUAAAGUGUGCGCAGGUGGCCGCGCAAGUCGAGUGUGAAAUCCCCGAGCUUAACUUGGGAAUUGCGCUCGAAACUACGUGGCUCGAGUGUGGCAGAGGAAGGUGGAAUUCCACGUGUAGCGGUGAAAUGCGUAGAGAUGUGGAGGAACACCGAUGGCGAAGGCAGCCUUCUGGGCCAACACUGACGUUCAUGCACGAAAGCGUGGGGAGCAAACAGGAUUAGAUACCCUGGUAGUCCACGCCCUAAACGAUGAUGACUAGUUGUUGGAGGAGUUAAAUCCUUUAGUAACGCAGCUAACGCGUGAAGUCAUCCGCCUGGGGAGUACGGUCGCAAGAUUA
rnacentral:rRNA from 1 species